UCCCUGGUAGUAUAUCGGCUAGUACACCCGCUUGUCAACAAGCGCCUGCGGUUCUGAGUUCGCGGGAGAGCGGGGUUCGACUCCCCGCCAGGGAG